GACGAAGGUGGCGAGCGUUGUUCGGAAUCACUGGGCAUAAAGCGCACGUAGGCGGCGACGUAAGUUGGGUGUGAAAUCCCUCGGCCCAACCGAGGAACUGCGCCCAGUACUGCGUUGCUUGAGGAUCCAAGGGGUGCAUGGAAUUCCCGGUGGAGCGGUGAAAUGCGUUGAUAUCGGGAGGAACUCCGGCGGCGAAAGCGGUGCACUGGUGGA
rnacentral:rRNA from 1 species